rnacentral:lncRNA from 1 species
AACUUUUUCAACAGUGGUGCUAGAUCCAAAAAAUUUUAGGACAAAUAUCAGGGAACCAAUACCAACCAAGUUAUCAACUUUGUUUUGACUUAACUCCAAAAAUUAAGGUGACAACUUUUGCACUCAGCGGAAUUGCAAACUUGUCCCGGAGACUGUUUACGCAUUUAUUUAAAUAACUAUAUAUGAAAUAUCAACCAUUUAUUUUGAAUAAGUGGAAAUAUAAUGGAUUGUCUAUCAUAAAUGUUGUGUAUUAAAUAUUAAUUUCACACAUAAAAGGUCACAUGUUUUAAUAUCAAUGAAGGGGGAAAAGGGGGAGAGCAAAGAAAAAAAUGUCCUCUACCCAAAUACCUAUAAUGCCAACAACACGUGUUUCUUGAUAUUUUCAAAACUCAAUUUUUUAUACUUAAGUGAAAUUCGUAAAACAUUAGUCAGUAUCAAACAAAAAAAAACCCAGAAAUGUCUAUAAAGUCAACCUUGCG